rnacentral:rRNA from 1 species
UUCACCUACGGGAGGCAGCAGUGAGGAAUAUUGGUCAAUGGGCGCGAGCCUGAACCAGCCAAGUCGCGUGAGGGAAGACGGUCCUAUGGAUUGUAAACCUCUUUUGUCGGGGAGCAAAAGACGCCACGCGUGGCGUUCCGAGAGUACCCGAAGAAAAAGCAUCGGCUAACUCCGUGCCAGCAGCCGCGGUAAUACGUAGGGAGCAAGCGUUAUCCGGAUUUAUUGGGUGUAAAGGGUGCGUAGACGGGAAAACAAGUUAGUUGUGAAAUCCCUCGGCUUAACUGAGGAACUGCAACUAAAACUAU